rnacentral:rRNA from 1 species
AUUGAACGCUGGCGGCAUGCCUAACACAUGCAAGUCGAACGAGACCUUCGGGUCUAGUGGCGCACGGGUGCGUAACGCGUGGGAACCUGCCUUUAGGUUCGGAAUAACAGUGAGAAAUUACUGCUAAUACCGGAUAAUGUCUUCGGACCAAAGAUUCAUCGCCUUUAGAUGGGCCCGCGUAAGAUUAGCUAGUUGGUGGGGUAAAGGCCUACCAAGGCGACGAUCUUUAGCUGGUCUGAGAGGAUGAUCAGCCACACUGGGACUGAGACACGGCCCAGACUCCUACGGGAGGCAGCAGUGGGGAAUAUUGGACAAUGGGCGAAAGCCUGAUCCAGCAAUGCCGCGUGAGUGAUGAAGGCCUUAGGGUUGUAAAGCUCUUUUACCCGAGAUGAUAAUGACAGUAUCGGGAGAAUAAGCUCCGGCUAACUCCGUGCCAGCCGCCGCUGUAACAC